AUGCCGCCGCCUCACAGCACACAGCCGCCGUCUCCCCUUCCUCCCCGGCCGCGCCUCCUCCAGAGCCUCGGCUCGUGCUCCAGAAGAGCCGUCACGUCCGCCGCCUCCUCCCCCUCGCCCUCGCCGCCGGGAUGGCCCCGCCCUCUCCGCUACGCCGUCCUCGGCGCCGGCUUCGCGGGGCUCUCCGUCGCGUGGCACCUCCUCAAGCAGAGCCCGAAGGAUUCGCGCGUGUCGGUGGACGUCUACGACGAGAACGGCGUCGGGGGAGGCGCCUCGGGGGUCUCCGGAGGGCUUCUCCAUCCGUACUCGCCCAAAGCCAAGCUUCUCUGGAGGGGAGGCGAAUUCUGGAAAGAGAGCAUGGAUCUCCUGCGCAGCGCAGAGAAAGCGAAUGACACCGCUGGAUCAGAUCGGGAUGAUGAGUCCCUUAUCUGGAGAAGGGGAAUUUUGCGGCCACCUACGACAGAGAAGGCUGCUGAUAUAUUGCUAGAGAAUGCUCAGAGUUGCCUCCAGAGUUGCAGCCUUCAAGUUCUUGAUUCGGAUGCUGCACAGCGACUUAUCCCUGGGUUACAUGUUCCGCUCAACCUUGCGGUUUAUAUGCCACUAGCACUGAACAUCAACCCUAGGAAAUAUUUACAGGCAUUGUUCUCUGCAUGCCAAAAUGUGGCUAACGAAGCAUCUGCGUCGUCCAGUGAACAGAAAGAGUUCAAUCUGUACAAUGAACAUAUUGAUAAUCUACAUCAAUUUUCAGGAGAUUAUGAUGCAGUGAUCAUCUGCCUUGGGGGCAAAGCUAGCUCACUUCCAGAACUUACAAAUAAGUUGCCUCUUAGAACCUGCAGAGGAGUUAUUGCUGAAUUCCAACUGCCAUCAGACACAGUAGAAAAAUAUGGCAGCCAAAGUCCUUCAAUCUUGUCUGAUGCAUGGCUGGCAUUCCAAGGACCCUGUACCGUUUCUGUCGGGUCAACUUGGCAAUGGAAGUCUGACAAUCAUGAUCCAAGUGUAUCUGAUGAAGAAGCACGUACUGCAACGGAAGAGCUGCUCCCAAAAGCUUCUGCUGUUUAUCCAGGAAUAAGUAAAUGGGAUUAUGUACGAGCAAGGGCCGGGAUAAGAGCCAUGCCUCCAUUGACAGCCAAUGGAUCCCUGCCACUGUUGGGUUGUCUAAAUGAUGUAAUAGGCGAGAGAAGCAAUUGCGCCUUUUGGCUAGUCGGUGGCCUUGGAGCCAGGGGCCUCCUGUAUCAUGGAUUAGCUGGAAAACUAACUGCCAAAGCUGUGAUUUCCAGUGAUGAAAACAUGAUACCUUCUGAAUUCACAUGCUGGAAGGCGAUCAAGGCUUCGCGGUGA
rnacentral:rRNA from 1 species